UGCCAAAGCAACAUCUCAUUUUCAUUUAGUUUAAGUUGAUGUAUUAAAAUGACAGAUCCUAAACAGAUUUAUUGAAAAACUACAAAAAGACAACUAAAUUAAUAAAACAAACUAAAAUGAAACUAAUUUUUUUUCUUGAUAUGGGGAGGUUUUAUUAUUUAUUUAUUUGUUUGCUUUUUUCUUCACUGUUAAAGUCACAAUAUCUGUGAAUAUUCUUCUCAGCAAGCCAGGCCUGCACACAAUCAAAGUGAAAGUCAUUUAAAUGUUCUUGCAAAUGAGCAUGUACAGAUGGAAAAUAUGACAACUGAUCUCCAGGAAGUGUUAUUAACUCAUAGGAAAUGACAAUUGACUUUGAACUAGAUAUAAAUCAAAAAUUGAUGACCAGGUCAAUUUGUGACUCAACUGUAAAAUCCACUGACUGUUUCAGGUCGAGUCUGUAUAAGAAAGAACAUGGCAAUGUUAAUUUGAAGCAAGCUGACAUUGGUUUUACUAUUGUGGAAAAAAAGUGUUCAACCCUGUUACCCAAACAGAUCAAAUAGAUAUUUAAACAGAUCAAAUAAAUAUUUUUUUAGCGAGAGAAAGCCAAGCACCUUCUUUCAAAGACAUUAAAAAUGGUCACCAUUUUGACUUAUUUUGAAAAAUAACUUCAUUGUGAUGCUGUAAAUGAAAUAUAAGUGUGUGAUUUCUUUACAGCCUGACCGGAAGAAACCUGAAGUUCAUACUACAUAAACAGAAGAUGAAAUAUAAAACAUAUGUAGAGCAUGGGGUUAAACCACAGCUGCGCUAUUGCAGAAACCUGAUGGUAAUAAAUAGAAACUCACAGCCAGCUGCCAUAUCUAUAAUUGAUGGUCCCUUUGAAUAAAACAGACACGUUUGAAAUAGAGAUGCCUAUAUUCCUUCAUACUCUUUCAGCUCAAACUCACUCUUUCCAGUGGAAAGGUUAUGGAUUUCUAAGCGGUGGUUGAUGUGGGAAAUAGAGUGUCAUAAGAUACAAGACGUAACACAGAUGUGGACCGCAUAACAUGUAAACAAAUUCAGGAGUCCCCUAAAUCUAUAUUUCAUCAUCCCAAUGCCUAUUGAUCACUGUCCCUCUAUGCUGGGAUAUCUGGCAUGCUGUAAAAGGGAAUAAUUUAGGUGUUAAAUUUAAAUUUGUCUCCAUUUCAUUUAUUGUUUUUCAUGAAUUGACAUUUUAGCUUGUGUGCAGUUAUUUUUUAUGCACUUGAAUAUUUUUGCUACUUCCUUACUAAUGACUUAAUGUCAUUUGCAACCUUUUUUAUAUUUUACAAUCUUUAUGUAUUACAUAAAUAUGCUAUGCUUUAUAUGAGAUCAUAAAAACUGACUAAAUUGUAACUAUUUAUGAUCCGAUCCAGAACGCCACUGUUUUGUUUGCAGAGCAAGUCCACCAGUGCACUGGCCUCCUGGGCCACAAGUGCCAGGAUGUCCCCUGACCAGUCCAACAUGUCCAUUCUCAUCCAUUAGCUGGGGGAAAAUCAGAAUCAAUAAACAAAGACUCCUUAAUUUUGCUUUGUAGAACUUUUUACAUCACACAAUACUUACUACAUCUGUUUCACUUUAAAUACUUUUCAGCUACU
rnacentral:lncRNA from 1 species